AUAUGGGCGGAGGGUUAUGAGUCGCAGACUGACAGGGAUUUCGCGUUAAUUUCAUGCUUGAGAAAUUAGAGCACAGGAUUUGGUUUUAUCCGCGCCAAUUCGUCUCUGCUGCCUUUGGGAUCUCACUUCCUCUUCAACUCACGCUCGUAAGGUGAGCCCUAGCCUCCGCUUCAGUGGCCGUCAUGUCGCCGGGCGGAUGUGCAUGUGUUGCUAUUGAGAAUGGGGAUGCGGAAGCUUCUGGUAACUGUAAAUCCGGUGAUUCGUAUUGCGAGCAUUGUGGUUGUGGUUGUGGCAGUGGUUCGGCGGAUUAUUCUUCUUUGCCGGCUUUUUCUUGCUCUUCUUAUUCACUUUGGCUUGAUUCUGCGCGGUUGAGAGAGUCCGGGAAGUUUUGGCGGAUUCUUGUUGCUUCUGCUAAAGGCUUCACAAUUGGAGCUGGUCUUAAAGGUGGACUCUCCCUGUUUUCGAUCCUUGCUGGAUUGAAGCGGAGAAAGGCUUUGGCCUCCCUCGGGAAGAAAGGAGUGAUUACGAAUCGUGAUGCAAUUUCCAUGGCUUUGAAGGAGACUUUGAGGUACGGUCUGUUUCUUGGAACCUUUGCUGGGACAUUCGUUUCCAUCGAUGAGAUAAUAGGCAAUCUGGCAGGCCACCGUAGGACUGCAGGAUGGAGGGCUCUAUCAGCGGGAGCAUUAGCUGGGCCAUCAAUGCUUCUGACUGGGUUAAAUACGCAACAUAAGACCUUGGCUAUCUACAUUUUUAUGCGUGCUGCGGUCUUGGCAGCGCGUUGUGGGAUUAAAAGCAAGCGGUUCGGCCAUAUUUGUAAGCCGCUCACGUGGUCAUAUGGUGACAUCUUCCUUAUGUGUCUCUCCUCUUCGCAGAUCUUGUCUGCGUAUGUGUUGAAGCAAGACAGCUUACCACCAUCGUUUAGCUCCUUUCUCAAUAUACAUGGUGGAAAAGAUACUGUAAUCCUGGAAGGUUUAAAGAGUUUUGUAUCAGGCAUGCCAUCUUCUAAUAAAUUUAAAGCAGUAGAAAAGUACUACAGGGCAAUGGGUGCAGAUGUCAAAUUAGAUCUGCAAAUGAAGACUCCAUGCACGAUUAUACAUGGAAAUCAAUCAUGUGGUGGCCAUGUUCUUAACUUUCUCAUUCAAGGAUAUAAAAGAGCAUUGCCAGUUUACCUACCUGUUUAUCUUGUCCCAGCCCUGAUAGUUCAUCGUGAAGGUCUCAUGAAUAGGCCGUACGAAAUUCUAGCAAGGGGGCUUCUAGGAACUGCCAGAUCAAGUCUGUUCCUUUCUGUUUAUUGUUCAUCUGCUUGGAUGUGGACAUGCCUUACUGCAAGAACUUUCAAGAAAAUAAACAUUCCCUUGGUUGCUCUGGCAACGUUCUUAGCUGGUUUGGCUCUGGCCAUUGAGAAGAAGAGCCGGAGGAUUGAAAUCUCACUCUAUUGCCUUGCGAGAGGCAUCGAGAGCUUCUUCAGCUGCAUGACGGAUCUGGGAUACUUGCCACAAUCAUUGAAUUUUAAGAGAGCGGAUGUGAUAAUCUUUAGCAUAUCAACUGCCAUUAUAAUGCACUGCUAUGCACAGGAAAGAGAGGUAUUUCGAUCCAAGUAUUUGAACGUCCUUGACUGGGUUUUUGGUGUGCCUCCUCCUCCCCCUUGUGAUGAAACACCAAGCUGCAAAAAUUGCAAGCAGCAUUGAGAGGCGGCGUCGGACGCCUUCUUCGACGAACUAGACUGACCAGGAUUUUAGGGUGCCAAAUAUGUGCAUUAUUUGGUCAUCAAUUUGCAUUCUACACAAUAUUAUGAUGUUUAGGUGAUCAUUAGCUGAUAUAGAAUUAGCAUUCAAUCAAGCUUUAGAUGAUUCAUAUGAAGAUAUUCUUCACCCACAGGGCCUUACAUUUGAAGCAAAUUGGGGAUGCCUUUAUUGACAGGGUAUCGGCGGCCAGUCGCCGGGCAAACAAGGGCAAACAAGAGCGCCUUGCUCGAGAUGCAGCUCUAGAAGAGCAUGGUGGAAUCGUUGCAGGAACUCAUGAUUCCUUGAAGUAAAGUCUUUGAUUAUACCUUUGGAGAAACAGUAGCUUGCAAGAUUCCUUGAAGUGUUCUAAGGGCGUAGAAGUUCUUCACCUUCCACAAGAUCUUCACUCGAAGACAAGACCAACACUUAUGGAAGCCUCUGAAAAUUUAAGGGGCGUAGAAGUUCUUCACCUUCCACAAGAUCUUCACUCGAAGACAAGACCAACACUUAUGGAAGCCUCUGAAAAUUCAAGGGGUGUAGACGUUCUUCACAUUUCACAAUAUUUUCCUUAUUUUGACCCGAGUACAAG